rnacentral:snRNA from 1 species
AUAGUUACCUGGCAGGGGAGAUACCAUGAUCACGAAGGUGGUUUUCCCAGGGUGAGGCUCAUCCAUUGCACUGCGGGUGUGCUGACCCCUGCGAUUUCCCCAAAUGCGGGAAACUCGACUGCAUAAUUUGUGGUAGUGGGGGACUGCGUUCGCGCUCUCCCCUG